rnacentral:rRNA from 1 species
CGGACGGGUGAGUAAUGUCUGGGAAACUGCCUGAUGGAGGGGGAUAACUACUGGAAACGGUAGCUAAUACCGCAUAACGUCGCAAGACCAAAGAGGGGGACCUUAGGGCCUCUUGCCAUCGGAUGUGCCCAGAUGGGAUUAACUAGUAGGUGGGGUAACGGCUCACCUAGGCGACGAUCCCUAGCUGGUCUGAGAGGAUGACCAGCCACACUGGAACUGAGACACGGUCCAG